ACGGCUUACCAUGGCAACGAUGGGUAGGGGUCCUGAGAGGGAGAUCCCCCACACUGGUACUGAGACACGGACCAGACUCCUACGGGAGGCAGCAGUGAGGAAUAUUGGUCAAUGGGCGCAAGCCUGAACCAGCCAUGCCGCGUGCAGGAUGACGGUCCUAUGGAUUGUAAACUGCUUUUGUACGAGAAGAAACAACAUUACGUGUAAUGUCUUGACGGUAUCGUAAGAAUAAGGAUCGGCUAACUCCGUGCCAGCAGCCGCGGUAAUACGGAGGAUCCAAGCGUUAUCCGGAAUCAUUGGGUUUAAAGGGUCCGUAGGCGGUUUAGUAAGUCAGUGGUGUAAGCCCAUCGCUCAACGGUGGAACGGCCAUUGAUACUGCUAGACUUGAAUUAUUAGGAAGUAACUAGAAUAUGUAGUGUAGCGGUGUAAAUGCUUAGAGAUUACAUGGAAUACCAAUUGCGAAGGCAGGUUACUACUAAUGGAUUGACGGUGAUGGACGAAAGCGUGGGUAGCGAACAGGAUUAGAUACCCUGGUAGUCCACGCCGUAAACGAUGGAUACUAGCUGUUGGGAGCAAUUUCAGUGGCUAAGCGAAAGUGAUAAGUAUCCCACCUGGGGAGUAC
rnacentral:rRNA from 1 species